CAAAGCUACUUGCAGCCACCGCCUUGCUGAAGCUAAGCAGGCAUGGGUCUGAUCAGUACCUGUGUGGGAGACCACAUAAGAGCCAUGGGUA
rnacentral:rRNA from 1 species